AAAGUCGUAACAAGGUUUCCGUAGGUGAACCUGCGGAAGGAUCAUUACCAAUUCUUGCCCUGAAAUAUGGGUAAACCCUCACCCCGGUACCUGGUGCAAACCAGAGUACCUGAAACUCUAAACGUAUAUCCUGUUGUUGGAGGUUGGAUUAGCUGUAAAGCGUCUGACUCUGGCCUCCACGUUUUUCAGGGUAGUCUUCUCUAUUUACUCCUUUCAAUUCUCUUGGUGGAAAAAAAACAUUAAUUAGAGACAACUUUUAACGGUGGAUCUCUUGGCUCGU
rnacentral:misc_RNA from 1 species